rnacentral:lncRNA from 1 species
CCACGCCCAAAAGUGACUCGGGUCUAUCUUCAAACAACAAAAAAGCUAAAAAAAAGAAGGAAAGUAAUCGAAAGUAGAGGUCCAAGAACACUUCUUCCAGAAAUCACAUCAAUGUUCCUCCGAAAUUGCUCCAAAAUUCUUCAAUUGUUGUUGAACCAGUAUUGUUGAGUUUGAGUGAGUUCUACAUAUACACUUAACUUCUCACAAGGGCCAUGGAAUCGACCUCCUUGAAGACCUCUUCCGCUCAAAAUGGGUUCAAACAACAAAUCUAGGAGCUUGUAGCCAUGACCCAACAAAAACUUCGACAAGAAUCAGCUGAGGUGAUAAAUACUCUUGAAUCUUUCCCUCUACAUAGAAUGAGCUCCGAAGAUCUGAUACAACUAUGAAGAGAUCCAUCUCCAAGAGGUAUUUUUGACUUAACUGACCCCUAGUUGUUCCCUCUUUUGCUAUAAAUAACCAGCAAUCAAAGUGUGGAUCAUUUUUCGUUGUUACCGUCUCUCUUAUAUUUGCAUCUGAUUUUCUGAUUCAUGUUGACUUGUCACUUUAAUCCUUGAUUCCUUAGUUGUGUAUUGAAUCCCUUGUUUUGCAUCUUCUUAGUCCGUAUAUUUGAGAUUUUUCUUUGUUCUAUCACUAAGAUUUUCCUUGCUAGUUGUGGUAGUUCGUGUAUGUUAUUAAAUUUAUUGACAUUGGUACCUGCAAAAUGAACAAUGUGGUUAGCUAAGUAAUCUGCCAAUUUGUUUCCUUCCUUGUAUGUGUAAACCAUCUCACCUCUUCUUGCUCCAUCCAUAAUUUUAUGCAUUGUAUAUCGACUAAGAUUGAUCAUAGAAUUUCCCAUACUCCAUCCAAUACCUCUUUACUGAUCAAUGAAUCAGUUUCCAUAAUUAUAGGUAGCAAGUCAUUCUCUAUACAGUACUUCAAUCCUGCCUUGAAUGCCUUCACUUGUGCAACUAUAGCAUAACAUGCUUUAAUAGUACUAGCUUUUGCAAAGAUAAGUUGCCUUUCCCAUUUCGAAUACAAAAGGUUGUAGAACUAGGCCCAUGAUUCCCUUUACUGGUGCCAUCAAUAUUGCAUUUAUAUCUUCCCAAGAGAGCAUGCACCCAAUACACAACUCUACAGUAUACUAGUGGUGAGUAUUCUUCCAGUAAUUUGACUAUCAGAGGCCAUGUAUUAGGAAGGUUUUUCAGCCAUGGAUAUCUACUUUUGGCAAAGAGAUACAAAGAAUUGUUAAUCUCCCUAAUCAUGUUAUGAGUAGACAUACACCCUUCAUGCUUAACAAUAUUCCUUCUAUUUCAUCUUUGCCAAAUAAUGAAAAUGGGAACAACAUGUAACAUGGGUUUCAACUUACUUCCACAAUCAGCUUCCCACCAUAAUUUUAUCACAGGUCUUAGUUGAACCAUUGGACCUUGAAUACUUGUAGCCUCUGUAGAGUGUCUCCAUAAACAAUAUGUUGUGGGGCACUAAAUAAAAAGAUUAUCACAUGUCUCCUCUGCAUUGGUGUUGCAAAUACAACACCUGACAAAGUUGAUAAUUCUCAUUCUCAACAGCACCUGUCCUAUUGGAAUUCUCAUAUGCCACAGUCUCCAUAACAAAAAAAAAAGAUUUUAAAAGGAAAUCUUUUCUCCCAUAUAUACAUGAUCUUAUCAAACCUAUCAUUUUUCGUUCUCAAUAAAUCCCAAACAAUACCAACAGAGAAUUUACAUGUACCGGUAGGCAUUCACCAUAGCUUGUCUCUUUCAUCAAAUCUUAGUAUUCUGCCCAAAUUUGAAGUAAUGUGAUUACAAACUUCUUCUGACAAAUUCUCAUGUAGCAAAGUGUUAUUCCAUCCCUCCACACGCAUUAGUUGUUGCACCUCUUCUAGUUGACCAUGAUCAUGGUUAAUAGGAAAGUAGUAGUGCAGUGCCCCAACUAUGUCUAAUUAUCAAAGAGGAAAUACAUAAUUACCCCAUGGAGCUUAUACCUUUUUUUUAAGAAGACACCUUACCUUUACGAGGGUCCUAUUACCCCACGAAACCAUCCAAAAGCACAACAAAUACAUCAUUUUUUCACCAUCAGUGCUCUCAAUCCAAGAGCGUGUGCCACACCUCCAACCCAUUUAACAAAGGCCGGGUUUUAUCCUAACCCAUUCAUUUUUAACCCAUAACCCAAACCCUAAGAAAUUUCCAAUCCAUUUCACUUUCACCUACCCUCGUCUCUCUCUCUUCAACCGAUCAAAACCCUAAGAAACUUCAUGAGGCGAAGCUAGUUGGUAACAUUGCUGGUUGAAAUUUGUUGAAUAGUGGUGUCGGAACGAAGAAGUGAAGGCUCAUAGGUUAGUUAUUUGAAAAAUCUUUGAAAAAAAGUUUAUUUUACAUUGUAAGUGAAUUUUGUAGUGAUAAGUCGUUAGUUUAUUUUACAUUGUUUGAUGCGUAUUUCGUUUGUCUUGCAUUUGACAUCUCUCCCUCAAAACCUAAUCAUAUGAAAUUGAUUUCACAGAUUUUAAACAAAAAAAAGUAAUUAAAAUGAGAAAUUGCAGAUCUCCAAUGGCUAACAAUGGAGAAUUUUGGGAAGGUGAUCUAUUUAAUGAAGAAGCUAAUUCAAAUUGGGAAUGCCACAUGGCGUUUUAACAUUGGUUGGAUGUUGGUUUUUUAUUCCUUGACGUGCCCAACCUGCGUGACAAAACUGAUGGGUUUGAAACGGGUCAAAAUGAUGUAUUUAUUGUGCUUUUGGAUGGUUUCGUGGGGUAAUAGGACCCCCGCAAACUUAGGGUGUCUACUUAAAAAAAGGGUAUAAGUUCCAUGGGGUAAUUAUGUAUUUCCUCUUUGAUAAUUAGACAUAGUUGGGGCACUGCACUACUACUUUCCUAUUAACCAUGAUCAUGGUCAACUAGAAGAGGUGCAACAACUAAUGCGUGUGGAGGGAUGGAAUAACACUUUGCUACAUGAGAAUUUGUCAGAAGAAGUUUGUAAUCACAUUACUUCAAAUUUGGGCAGAAUACUAAGAUUUGAUGAAAGAGACAAGCUAUGGUGAAUGCCUACCGGUACAUGUAAAUUCUCUGUUGGUAUUGUUUGGGAUUUAUUGAGAACGAAUAUCAAACAUUGCACUAACCAUUUCUGGUUCCCACCAGAUCUCUUGGUCCAUGAAAUCUCUAGCUUGUAGCAUAAGUUUCCAUACUUGAGAUCCCCCUCUCCAUUCUACCACUUGUGGCCUAUGUCUUUUGUAGUGAUUGUUCCACAUAAAGUUAAACCAUAAUGUGUUGGUUGUUCUAAAAUUUCACCAUAAUUUAGCAAAGAUUGGUUUUGACACAUCAAAUAGAGAUUUAAAACCAACCCCCCCCCCCUUCCGCCUUUCCUCCUUUGGUAAACAUAUGUCAUUCCAAGCAAUCCAGUGUUUACCCUUCCCUCCUCCUUGGAAUUCCAUAGGAAUUUAGCAAAAAUCCUAUGUAUAUCAUGUAUAACACAUUUGGUGGAUAAAUAGCAGAAAGGAAGUAUAUAGGAAUACUUUGUAAUACAUGAUUAAUCAACACUGUUUUUCCUCCAAAAGAUAGCAACCUUCUCUUCCAUACCUGCAAGAUGCUUUGAAUUUUCUUGAUUAGCUCUGAAUAAUGGACCUUUUUCUUCUUAGCAUGCCCAAUCGGACGACCAAGAUAAGUCAAUGGAAAGCUUCCUCUUAUAAAUCUAGUAGUAUCUUGAACUAUGGCCUGUACAGUCUUGUUGAACAUGUAAAAUAAACACUUUCCUUUAUUAAUAAGUUGUCCUGAUUGAGCUUCAUACAGCUGAAGAGUUUCCAUGAUUAAUUGCAGAGAUUUUUUGUCAGCAGAUGUGAAUAUGAUGGUAUCAUCUGCAUAAGCAAGCUGAUUUAGUUGAUCACUCCAUUUGGGUAAACAAAAGCUCUUAAGCUCAUAGUUGUAAAAUAUAUGGUUAAGAGCCUUAGUUAAUACUUAUGUUGAUAAUAUAAAAAGAGCAGGAGAUAAAGAUUCCCCUUGCUUUACCCCUCUAGUGGAGUGAAAAAAUCCAUGAGCAUGCCCAUUAACAACUACAGAAUACCAAUUAUUGGCUACCAGCCUCCAAAUCAUAUCCAACAUCCUGUUAUCAAAGCCUAUUUUUUUCAAGACUUUAGAAAAAAACUUCCAAUCCACCCUAUCAUAAGCUUUAGCUAUGUCUAACUUGAUGACCACAUUAGCAGGUUUCCCCCUUUUUUCUGAUCUCUGAGAUUAUUUCUUGUGCCAAUAGCACAUUUUCAGUGAUAUUUCUUCCUUUCACAAAUCCUGAUUGGUUAGGAGAUAUUAGUUUUGGUAGUAUCCCUUCCAACCUAUCAUGUAUAAGUUUGGAAAUGAUUUUAUUAAUACAAUUGUUCAAACUAAUUGUCCUAAAAUCAGAAAAAGAUUGAAUAAUAUCUUUUUUAGGUAAUAGGACAAAAUUUGUAUGAGUAAUAGACUUAGGCAGUGAGUAACCUGAAAGAAAGCAUAAACCACUUUCAAAAUAUCUGAACCAACAAUAUCCCAACAAGUUUGAUAAAAGCGACUGUAAACCCAUCGGGUCCACAAGCACUCUCAGCAUUAAGCUCAAAUACAACUUCCUUAUCUCUUCUUCUUUUGGUUAUGCAUUCAGCCUAUCAUGUUCAUCUUGUUCUACUUGAGGAUGUAUACACUAUAACAAGGACAACCCAAAAUUAGUAGCUCCCCCAGUGAACUUAUCUUUAAAAAAAAGCACACAGCCUCUUUUGCAACCUCUUCACCCACAGCCUAUGAACCAUCUGCUUUCAUCUUUUUGUUAAUAUUCAACCUCUUUCUUCUUCCUUUUAUCGGACAAUGAAAAAAUCUAGUAUUUCUAUCUCUUUCCCCAAACCAUCAUCCUAGCUUACUGACUCCAAUACUCUUCUUCAUAGUGAAUAUAGAUCUUUAAUUCGGCUUGUGCCUGAUGUAAUACAACUCUAUUUUCUGGAGAUGGACAUUUUUCAAAAAAACUCUUCUUUAAUUCUCACAAUUUCCUCUCUAAUGGCCAAUUGAUUGAAUAUGUCUCCAAAUUUCUCCUUGCUCCACUUUGAUAGUGCAUGUUUAGUCCUUUUCUUCUUCAACUUGAGUUGUAAAAAUAUAUCCUCCACAUCAUCAGAAACCUAAUUUUGUAGCACCAUAUCUCUAAAGUCUUCACUUUCUGUCCAAAACUUCAGGAACCUGAAGGGUUUAACAAUAUUCUGAUAGUUAUUCCCACAAGUUAAUAACAAUGGAACAGGGUCUGGCUAGACUUUGCAAAUUUGUAUCACCAUAUAAAUCAGAAAACCUUUGGUUCACCACCACUCUUUCCAGCCUUUUGAAAAUACAUUCACCAUUUACUCUAUCAUUCCACCAAGUAAAAGGACUCCCAGAAAAGUUGAUAUCAGAAAGAUCACAAGAGUUAAUGUUGGAAUUAUGACCCCCUUUAUUCUGUAAAGGAACAUGUACUAACUACUUGUUCUUUACUGUUUGUGAGUUCUAGUAAAUAAUUUCGUAAAAUAAUAAUUAGUUCACAGCUUUGUAUUAUUUAUCUCAACUCCAAACAGCAUACAAAGAUUACACACCUAGGUAAUCUAAGGAAUUAUAAAUUCUAAUUCCUAGCUACCAAGACAAAAAAAUCCAUGUUUAAGUCUUCUGCCGUCUGUCAAAUUUCUCAAACUUGUUAGACGAAUCCUACACACACACUUAAUUGUAAUCAAAACUCUUAACUACAAUCUUACAACUUUUUCCUUACAAACUCGCAACACUCCCCAAGUAAAUCUCAAAACUCUCUCAAACUCUUGAUCGUGUUUUGAUCUUCUCUCUAUAUAUGUAAGUGCGCAAACUUCUUCGAAGAAGUUAUUGCCCUAUUUAUAGAUUAAACCUCCUCAAAGUCUUGUUCAACUCGAACUUGACUUUGCUGCAUCAUCAACUCCUUGUUCAACUCGAACUUGUCUUCAGUUUUCUUUCUUGACUUCACAUUGAUUUAUUUCCUUCUUGAACUCUUUAUUUACGCCCCUUAUUUCCUUCUUUGAUCUUGCUUCGUACUUCUCUUAGGAUUUAUACCUAUGUUUACACUUUGACUUAUUAUGCGCUCCUUUUUCCUUGUAGGACUCCUUUAUAAAAAGGGAACUUUCUGUACUGGUUGUUUGUCGAAAAAGUAAUCCCUCCACUGCUUUAUAACUUCUAAUUCGCGUGGUUGACGUUCUCCUUAUCCCAGUCGGAUUCGUUCUGAAAGAAACAUGUCGCUCAACCGGUUCCUUUCAUUUGUUUCUCUAUUUGUCAAUUAUCAAAAUCUUUCUCGAUCUAACAAAUUCCCCAUUUUUGAAGAUGACAACCCAUUGCUUCUUGUGUGAAUUGAUCAAUUUGUGUUAUGUCAGUUUCUUAAAGUACAACACACAAAGCAAACACAUUAGAGGAUCAAGGUAGACCAAUUGGGUUAUAAAUAUUACACAAGUAUGCACUUCCCCCUUUUGACAUCAUAAAACACCGUGAAGGCAUACACCACACUAAGAGAAGCAAAUUCGAUACUCAUGGCCACUGGGGCUAUCACCUAUACAAACACUUAAAAUUCAAGAACUCAGUUAGCUAUAGCAAAGCAUUUGCACAAACAUUGGAGAUAGACAUGAACCAGAAACUCAAACCCAACAUUAGCAUUAAUCAAAAAGCAUAUACACAAUAUGACUUCAAUUUCAGCUUAUUUUUUUUCGUUUUGUAUCACCUUUAAGGAACUUGUUCAAUCAAUCAUGUGCCCUCCGGAGAAACAAUAGUUCAUUUAUCUCUAACCCCCUAAAUCAGUAAUCACCUUACCUAAGAGCACUGUCCGCUUCCCAAAGUUAACAACUCUAAUUUCAAUAGAGUCAUCUUUAAAUUCAAUAGAGUCAGUAAGACGAACAUGUUCUCUCAAUCUGUUCCCUAGACGUAGUACUAUCAGGUGCAGUACCAACUAUAAUAAUUUUUUACAUCAACCCUAAAUCCCAAUAGAAGGACUAAGUUCGACAGAGGGGUCUCCCAUUGUUUCCCCCUCACUAGAUGCACCCAAGUUGAGCCUAGAAAGUGAACUUUGUUCAAAUAUAGGGUCCCCAAAAUAUUCCCCCUCACAAGGUACAUCCUCCAAAACUUCCUCAGUAAUUUUAGACACACCCAAUACAGAUUCCCCCUAAGAACCAGCACAACCUACAUUCUACACCACAACCUAUAUUUUAUAAGCCACCAACGUAGAGGCGUCAUCUCAACCAUAGAAUCAGAUAGACCAGCACACUUAGAAUCUCCAAGAAUGUCAUUAAGAAACAUAAAUUGUAAUUAAUCAAGCAUAGACAUGUUUCUUGAAGAACACUUUAUUCCACAAUUUUAGAAAAAAAGGAUUUCUUGGUUAAGAAGUUUAUGGAAGAGAAGGGUGUGAGUUGUAGAGAAACACUAGGAUAAGGCUUUAAAUAGGCUUUUUAAGAAGAUGUUUGUUUAGUAGUAUUGAGGACGUGAAUAUAUGUGGAAGGAACAGGUACAUAUGCAUUGAUUUUAUAUUUAAUUAUGAAUAAUUGUAGUGCACAUACCUUAGAUCUCUGAAAAAUGCUGAAUUUUGCUCCAAUUUUACUAAGCCGUGCAUGAGUAGCUUGGCUUUAAAAGUGGUAUAGAGACAUACAACUAAAUGUACAAGACUGAGCAUAAAAUUCAUGAUUAGAAGGCAGUAUGUGAAAUGUUCAUUAGCCACUGAGGGAUACUCAUGUGAUUUUAAUCAUCCCCAAGUUCCAACAUGUUCCUUUAAAAGUAUUUCUUUAGUCUUGCCUACUUUCCAACUUCUUUGAUUUGACCAAAAUGAAUUUUCACCACAAAAACUACUAUUCCAUCCUUUUCUUCUACAGGUGAGAGGAAUUUCUUCUAGUUUCAAUCAUGUGUCUCAAGCAACAACUGUUCAUAUAGAAUGUUGCUUUCUUCCUCUCACUUUUCCUGCAAAUUCAAAGGUUAGAUUUAGGAACCCAUACUAGCUUGGGUCCUUUGUAUUGAUAAAAAGGAUGAAUAAGAUCUCUAUGUAUCCAUUUAGGUAGAUUAUAUUUCUUUUGAGUAUACAUGUUCCUUUGAGGUGUCUUAUAGGUGCCUUUUGUUUUAUUGUUAAUGGUGAAUUUGUAUUUAGGGCAAUUUAUCUUAGAGUGACCUGAAUUACCACAGAUGAUGUAUAACAAAGGGUUAUCAAUUCUGGACUGAUCAAAGCCUAUUCCAGUUUUUUUAUUUCGGUGGUUAUUUCCCAGAUGUGAUACAAUCAUAGAUGACUUCGUCCAUUUAUUUGCUUGUUCAAGCUCAUAUUUAGUCCUAGUUAGUUCAAGUCUUAUUUUUGUUGAUUUUUCUCUCUCAGAACAUAAUUCAUUUUUGAGCCUUUUAAGUUCAUGAUCAUCUUUUGACUUAUCACAGAUUUUGUCCUUACCUGUUUCUUUGAGUUUUAGGAUUUCGAUUUUAUUGGACAGAUUCCAAGACUCUAGUUGCUGAACUUUUUGUGAUAAAAGCUUAUUUUUCUCUUUCAAGUCAGCAUUGAGUUUUUCAAGAUCUAUAUACUCAAAUUUUAAACUGGUUAGGGAGGCAAGUAUCUGAUUCUUGGUUUAACUAGUUCCUGAAUUGUGUCUAUAGAUGUAAGCAUUAAAAAGGAUAUGUUUUUCUUAGUGAAAUUUAUUAACUUAUCUUUGAGAUCAGAAAGGUUUACCUCCUUUUCUACACAGUCUGAAUCAGGUUCAGGCUCCGAUUCUUCUAUGGCCAUCAAGGCAAUAUCAUCAGCAUCGUCUUCAUACAUCUCUGAACCUGUUCCCCAUGCAGCAUACAUAGCUUGCUCCUUCUCUUUGUUUUUUUUUUAAAAUUUCCCUCUUCUCCUUUUCAGCUCUUUCUGUUUUCCAUUCUACCUCCCACAUAGGACAAUCCUUAAUUUGAUGAUCAGUUUUUCCACACUUGAAGCAUCCUCCACUUUAUGGUUUCUCUGUAUUCUUUUCUUUAGUGGGUGGUACCUUUUUUCAGAAUUUAUGCCCCUUUUGAAGAGUUUCUUGAAGUUUCUGUUGAUCAGUUCUAAGUCUUCAUCAUCUAUAUCUGAUUCAUCACUUUCAAUUGCUUUGAGUCCAAGAUUUUUUUCUUUGUUUCUCUCACCUCUUUUGUCAACAUUCAUCUCAUAUGUCUUGAGGUUACCUACCAGUUCAUCCAAAGUCAUAUUGGUUAAAUCCUUGGCUUUUCUGAUUGCAGUAACUUUUAUUUCACAUGAUCUAGGCAAGGUCAUAAGCACUUUGUCUACUUGUUCCUCAGUGGUGUAUACUUUUCCCAAGGAGAUUAGCUCGUUUACUACAGUAGUGAAUCUACUGAUCAUAUCUUGAAGCGAUUCACCUGAUUUCAUCUUGAAGGCUUUAUAUUCGGAGCAUAGCCUAGCAAUUCUAAAUUUUCGAACUUGAGUUGUACCUUCAUGAGCAUUCUGUAGAGUAUCCCAUAUUUGUUUCACGGAGGUACAACUUGAGAUGCGAUUAAACUCAUCAGGUCCUAGUCCACAUACAAGUAUGCAUUUGGCCUUUGCAUUUUUUCCCAGCAUCUUAUAGUCAGCUUCUCCAUAUUUUUCUUUAGGUUUUGGAACAUCGUUUCCUUCAUUAUACUUAACGGUAGGGAUUAAAGGCCCAUCAGUGAUUCUAACCCAUAGUUCAUAGUCUUCGGCUUGGAUGAAAUCCUCCAUCCUUGUCUUCCACCAAGAGUAGUAUUGUCCAUUAAAUAAUGGCGGUCUGUAGAUGUGUUGCCCUUGACCAUCCUUGAGAGGGGGUGCAGAAUUCAUAGUGAUCUUUAUAAUCUUGAGUUAUUAGACUCUUGAUUAAGAUAACCUGCUCUGAUACCAAUUGUUGGAAUUAUGACCCCCUUUAUUCUGUAAAGGAACACGUACUAACUACUUGUUCUUUACUGUUUGUGAGUUCUAGUAAAUAAUUUCGUAAAAUAAUAAUUAGUUCACAGCUUUGUAUUAUUUAUCUCAACUCCAAACAGCAUACAAAGAUUACACACCUAGGUAAUCUAAGAAAUUAUAAAUUCUAAUUCCUAGCUACCCAAGACAAAAAAACCCAUGUUUAAGUCUUCUGCCGUCUGUCAAAUUUCUCAAACUUGUUAGACGAAUCCUACACACACACUUGAUUGUAAUCAAAACUCUUAACUACAAUCUUACAAUUUUUUCCUCACAAACUCGCAACACUCCCCAAGUAAAUCUCAAAACUCUCUCAAACUCUUGAUCGUGUUUUGAUCUUCUCUCUAUGUAAGUGCGCAAACUUCUUCGAAGAAGUUAUUGCCAUAUUUAUAGAUUAAACCUCCUCAAAGUCUUGUUUAACUCGAACUUGACUUUGUUGCAUCCUCAACUCCUUGUUCAACUCAAACUUGUCUUCCGUUUUCUUUCUUGACUUCACUUUGAUGUAUUUCCUUCUUGAACUCUUUAUUUACGCCUUAUUUCCUUCUUUGAUCAUGCUUCGUACUUCUCUUAGGAUUUAUACCUAUGUUUACACUUUGACUUAUUAUGCGCUCCCUUUUCCUUCUAGGACUCCUUUAUAAAAAGGAAACUUUAUGUACUGGUUGCUUGUCGAAAAAGUAAUCCCUCCACUGCUUUAUAACUUCUAAUUCGCGUGGUUGACGUUCUCCUUAUCCCAGUCGGAUUCGGUCUGAAAGGAACAUGUCGCGCAAUCGGUUCCUUUCAUCUGUUCCUCUAUUUGUCAAUUAUCAAAAUCUUUCUCGAUCUAACAGUUAAUACAGAAGGAAAAAUCUUCAUAUUCCUGAGGAUACACAGGUAAACCUCCAAUCUUCUCCUCUACCCCCAUUAUUACAUUGAAGUCUCCACCCACAAUCCAAGGCAAUGAAAAAUUGUAGCUAAGGGAAAAAAUAUCAUCCCAAAGUCUUAACCUUUCAUUAGCAUUACAUUUAGCAUAUAUCAUUGUUGUGAUCACUUGAUUACCAUACUUUAAAGUAAGAUGUAAGGAGAGUUUCUAUUCAGUGUAUGAACCAAUUCCCACCUAGAUAUGUUCUCUGAUAAAAACCCAAAUUCGGUCAUUCCUAUUAUAAUUCACAUAGCUCAUCCCCAACCUCCUUUUGUACCUUUGAAUAUGUCUAGUAUUCUGAAAUGGUUCCAUUAGAGCAAUCAUAUCAAAUUUAUGAUGUCUAUUUAACAUAUGCACUCCGUGAAAAGCAUUUUGUGUGUUCACUGAUCUAAUAUUCCAAAAAAAGCUUUCACUAUCAUUGAGGUACUGCUUUCACCCCUCUUUUGGCAUGUAUCCUUGUUGGAAUGCUAUUGCUUGAGCUUUCUCCCUUGCUUUUACCUUUUUUGGAUUUAGGAAAAUUCUAGGAGAUAGCCUUGCCUCCUUGCUUACUUUAUUGAUAAUGUUAUUGUUGUCUUCCUCUUCUUUAUCUUCUUCUCCUGUGUAGUCAGCUCCUUUUCCAUUAUUUUCUAAUGCUAAAAUUUGUUUGGAAUCUGCAGAGUCCUUAUACUGGCCUUGGUGUGACACAAGAGCAUGCAGCUUGUUCAAUGGAUGUGAUUUCUGAUCUGCACCAGCCACUCCCCCCACCAUAUUUGUCUGCCCAGUAUCUCUCUCAAUUUUCCACACUUGCUUCUGUAUAAAGUCAGGUGGGAAUCUAUCUUCUGCUGUUGUGACCACUUUCAGUGGUCUCUGAUCAAUAACAUUUGUCAUCUCCCUCCUGUAUGUGAGAUCUGUCAGACCAUUCUGAACUGUACAUAUAUGUAUUUUCUUCUCUUUAUAAUCCCUUCAGUAUUUUCCUCGAAGUUUUGACCAAAAUAAGCCAUUGUUUAAAUCAAUNNNNNNNNNNNNNNNNNNNNNNNNNNNNNNNNNNNNNNNNNNNNNNNNNNNNNNNNNNNNNNNNNNNNNNNNNNNNNNNNNNNNNNNNNNNNNNNNNNNNUGACAGUCACGUUUUAUAUAUAAAACGUGACUGCCAGCAACGUUUUAUAUAUAAAACGUGACUGCCAGUAACGUUUUAUAAUAUGUAAAAUUUGCAAGAUUCGAUCUUUAAUUGCAGAGCCCGUGACGUCUCACUUUAGUUGUAAAACAUGAAUCUACAGUAACAAAAUAUAAAACGUUACUCAAAGUAACGUUUUAGCUCUAAUACGUGAUUCAAGAUAACGAAGUAUAAAACGUUAUUCACAAUAACGUUUUAUUUCUGUUUGCUCCGUGAACUUUUGCCUUUUUCCCCAUUAAAUUUUUUAAAAUAAAAUAAAGUAUAAAACGUUACUGUGAACCACGUUUAUACUAGUUUUGUAAAAAAAUUUAAAACAUACUAUUUUGGUGAAUUGAUUUAAACAAUGGCUUAUUUUGGUCAAAACUUCAUUUUCCUCUGUAGGACCUUCCACUUCAUCAGUUGUGAUAUGUUCAGUGUUCACAUUCCCAUCUGCAUAUGCUUCCUUCAUUUCAAUCUCACUGACAUGAUUACUACUAUCUAUUGUGUAUUAGAAGUAGUGAGAUUUUUAUAUUCCUUUUCUGUGCAUGCCUUUUCACUUUGUUGCCCUUAUCAUCUGCUCCUUUGUCCAGUAUUGUAAAAGAAUUACUUAUCUCCUC